UGAGGAAUCUUGCGCAAUGGGCGAAAGCCUGACGCAGCGACGCCGCGUGAGGGAUGAAGGCCUUCGGGUUGUAAACCUCUGUCAGGGGGGAAGAAACCGGAGUCGGCGAAUACCCGGCUCCACUGACGGUACCCCCAGAGGAAGCACCGGCUAACUCCGUGCCAGCAGCCGCGGUAAGACGGAGGGUGCAAACGUUGUUCGGAAUCACUGGGCGUAAAGGGCGCGUAGGUGGACUUGUAAGUCGGGAGUGAAAACUCGGGGCUCAACCCCGAGCCUGCUUCCGAAACUGCGAGUCUUGAGGACCGGAGAGGAAAGUGGAAUUCCUAGUGUAGCGGUGGAAUGCGUAGAUAUUAGGAAGAACACCAGUGGCGAAGGCGACUUUCUGGACGGUUCCUGACGCUGAGGCGCGAAAGCUAGGGGAGCAAACAGG
rnacentral:rRNA from 1 species